GAUGAAGAACGCAGCGAAAUGCGAUACGUAGUGUGAAUUGCAGAAUUCAGUGAAUCAUCGAAUCUUUGAACGCACAUUGCACCUCUCGGUAUUCCGGGAGGUAUGCCUGUUCGAGCGUCAUUUGUACCCUCAAGCUCUGCUUGGUGUUGGGUGUUUGUUCCGCCUCUGUGUGUGAACUCGCCUCAAAACAAUUGGCAGCCGGCGUACUUGUUUCGGAGCGCAGCACAUUUUGCGAUCCAGAUCAACGUACAGCGGCAUCCAAGAAGCCUUAUUUAACGCUCUUGACCUCGGAUCAGGUAGGGAUACCCGCUGAACUUAAGCAUUCAAUAGCGGAGGA
rnacentral:misc_RNA from 1 species